GAGGGUAGAGCUCAGUGGUAGAGCACGUGCUUAGCAUGCACGAGGUCCUGUGUUCAAUCCCCAGCACCUCCA
rfam:Camelus ferus unplaced genomic scaffold scaffold773, whole genome shotgun sequence.